GACGAACGCUGGCGGCGUGCUUAACACAUGCAAGUCGAACGGAAAGGCCCUGCUUUUGUGGGGUGCUCGAGUGGCGAACGGGUGAGUAACACGUGAGUAACCUGCCCUUGACUUUGGGAUAACUUCAGGAAACUGGGGCUAAUACCGGAUAGGAGCUCCUGCUGCAUGGUGGGGGUUGGAAAGUUUCGGCGGUUGGGGAUGGACUCGCGGCUUAUCAGCUUGUUGGUGGGGUAGUGGCUUACCAAGGCUUUGACGGGUAGCCGGCCUGAGAGGGUGACCGGCCACAUGGGGACUGAGGUACGGCCCAGACUCGUACGGGAGGCAGCAGUGGGGAAUAUUGCACAAUGGGCGGAAGCCUGAUGCAGCAACGCCGCGUGCGUGAUGACGGCCUUCGGGUUGUAAACCGCUUUCGCCUGUGACGAAGCGUGAGUGACGGUAAUGGAUAAAGAAGCACCGGCUAACUACGUG
rnacentral:rRNA from 1 species